AUUGUUUUGCCGAAGACAGCAGGUGCAGAAAUGCGUAAGAGGAAACCGCCUGCCGAGGAAAACGUCCGUAUCAGUGACAUUAUCCCCGUCUGUCUUUCCGGCAGACGGGGUUUUUUCAUU
rnacentral:sRNA from 1 species